UUUUUAUAAUGUCUAGUAUGGAGUGGAUGCCUUGGAAGAAAAAUAUAGGCGUGAAUAAUCACGAAAGUGUUGGUUUAGGGAAGCCUGUGAUACCAACCAUCCUAAUAUGGUAAACUAGAGCUAUAAAGCUCACUAUAAAAUUAGUAUAAAAAGGGGGAAGUGAAACAUCUCAGUACCCUGCAUAUAAAAUCAACCGAGAUAUCGUAAGUAGUGGUGAGCGAAAAUGAUAGUGGUAAAAAAAAAUACAACGAACGAAAAAUAACCAUGCUGGUUUUUACCAUAGAAGGUGAUAGUCCUGUAAUUCUUUUAUUUUUUUAAUAAGUAAAACGAGGCAUGUUUACCUUGUUUGAUUAUUGGGGGACCACCCUCAAUGCCUAUGGUUUUUUCUUUCCGAUAGUGAACAAGUACCGUGAGGGAAAGGUGAAAAAGAAGUUGCGACAGUGCAUAGAUCCUGAAACUCCAUAUUUGAGUCGAAGCUUUUUAGUAGCAACGGGAUACCUUUUGUAUAAUGGGCAAGUGAAUCUAAAUAAUGGGCAAGCUUAAGCUAAUAAAAGUUAAGGCGAAGAUAACUCGAGUCUUUCGGGGCGUUUAAAAGUCCUUUGUUUAGUACCCGAAGCCGGCUGAUCUAAACUUGAGCAGGCUGAUAUUGUAGUGGCAACAUUCUUUGGAGGGCCGAACCCGUGUAUGUGGCAAAAUACUGGGAUGACUUGAGUUUAGGGGUGAAAGGCCAAUCAAAGUCGGUGAUAGCUGGAUUUCUGCGAAAUCUAUUUAAGUAGAGCGUUCUAUUAAAUAAAUUUGGGGUAGAGCACUGUGUAAGCAAGGGGGAGAUUUUCUCUUACCAAACUUUGGCAAACUCCGAAUACAAAUUUUAUAUAUAGGGCAGACAGAGUUUGAAUGUUAAGAUUCAUACUCAAGAGGGAAACAGCCCAGAUUGUUAGCUAAGGUCCAUAAUUUAGUUUUAGUGGUAAAAGAAAUUUUUUUUCACAGACCGUCAGGAGGUAGGCUUGGAAGCAGCCAUUCUUUUAAGACAGCGUAACAGCUCACUGACCUAGAUCAAAAAUUCUGUCAAUUUUGGGGGCUUAAAACUAUUACCGAAGCUUCAAACAAGACAUUUUUAAAACGUUUUGUGGUAGCAGAACCUUCCGUAUAUUGUAAAAGUUUUAGUGAAAACUAAAAUGAAAAUACCGGAAGUGAGAAUACUUGCAUGAGUAGCAUAAAACAAUGAUAAACAUUGUAGCCGUAAGUCCAAGGUUUCCAAUCUAAAGUAAAACUGGGUUGGUAGAAGUCUCGACUUCUAUAAAAACGGUCCCUAAGCUAGCAAGCCAAAGCUUGCAGUGAUGGGUAAGAUUAAACUGUGAUAAGUUACUGACGAAAAAUUCACUUUAUUUUUAAAUAAAUUAAAGGUAAAUUAUUUUUUCCAAGAAAAAGGUGCUUUACAAAAACCGUACCUUAAACCGCCACAGGUGGACGGGUGGAGAACACUAAGGCUUUGAGAUAACCCUGUUGAAGGAACUCGGCAAAAUGACUCUGUAACUUUGGAAUAAGGAGUAAAGGUUUAAGCGAAAGCUUUAAUCUUUGACACAAAAUCGGGGGUGGCGACUGUUUAUUAAAAACACAGGUCUCUGCUAACUCGUAAGAGGAUGUAUAGGGACUGACACCUGCCCGGUGCCGGUAGGUGAAGCUUUAAUGUUUACGCAUUGAGGUCAAACCCCGGUAAACGGCGGCUGUAACUAUGACGGUCCUAAGGUAGCGAAAUUCCUUGUCGGGUAAGUUCCGACCCGCAUGAAUGGUGUAACGACUUCCCCGCUGUCUCCAACAGGGUCUCAGUGAAAUUACAUAGGUCGUGAAGAUGCGACCAUCCCACAGCUGGACGGAAAGACCCCGUGCACCUUUACUAUAAGCAAUUAUUGUAAUUCAAAGACUCUAGUGUAGAAUAGGCGGGAGCUUAUGACUUAUCUUUGCUAGAAGAUAACGAGGCAUCAGUGAAAUACCACCCGGAGAUCUGUUGGUUUACUAACUAUUGGACAGUGGUUGCUGGGUAGUUUGACUGGGGCGGUCGCCUCCUAAAAGGUAACGGAGGCAUAUAAUGGUAGGCUCAUUCCCCGAAAAGGGAAGUCGAGCAUAAUGGUACAAGCCUGCUUGACUGUAAGAAAGACAUUUCGAGCAGAGACGAAAGUCGAUCAUAGUGAUCCGGUAAUUCUUUGUGGAAGGGUUAUCGCGCAAUGGAUAAAAGGUACGCCGGGGAUAACAGGCUAAUGAUCCUCUAGAGCUCCUAUCGACGGGUUCGUUUGGCACCUCGAUGUCGACUCAUCACAUCCUGGAGCUGGAAAAGGUUCCAAGGGUUCGGUUGUUCGCCGACUAAAGUGGUACGUGAGUUGGGUUUAGAACGUCGUGAGACAGUUUGGUCCCUAUCUCCUGUGGGUGCAUGAAAAUUACAAGGAUUAAACCCUAGUACGAGAGGACCGGGAAAACUUGAUCCCUGGUGUUCCGGUUGUUCUUUUAAGGGCAGCGCCGGGUAGCUACAUCGAGAAAAGAUAAUCGGUCGUUUGGCGAGAACCUUACCUUAAUUCAAGUUUUCAUUGGGGGGUGGAAGAUUACCACCUAGAUAGGCGGGGGGUGCAAGAGCUGCGAAGUUUUAAGCUGACCCGUACUAAUCCCCAUCAGAAG
rnacentral:rRNA from 2 species